CCAAAUGGAGCAAGUAGACUGAGGCCUCCGGAUGGUUGGUGACACUUCAUUGUACUUUAACUGUGAAUAAUGUUUCAAAUUUUAGGUCAUACCUAUACGCUUCCAACUUGCCCUCUCUUCCAUCCUCACUCUCAGUUUUUGUUUUAUUUUGUCUUACAUCUAUUUCUUGGUUUUCUUUGAGGGUGCUUAUCUAUUACUAGUUACUGCAUCUUUCUCAACUUUUGUUAAUCUUUUUUUAAAAAAGAAAAAUUCAUCAUCGGUUUUCCACCAUGCGUUACUCUCUUUUAAUCUUUAGAAACAUUAGUAUUCUUAUCUAUGCGUGGUAUUAUUUAAUAGUUAGAAACAUUUGUUAACCAAAGGGAAUAGUAGCCACUAGUUUUACCUCAGAAUCAAAUGGAGAGGUUCGUAGCCUUGUAUUUUAAGCCUCUUGCUUGUCAAUGAUGAUUUUAGAAAACCAAUAAAUCAUGAAGCGAAUCUUUUAGGUGAAGCAAGUCAAACUCAACAAAGGCAGGACUCCUGACGCUGAUAUUGUUGUUGUGGGUGUCGGAGGCAGACCCUUGAUCUCUUUGUUCAAAGGGCAGGUCGAAGAAGAUAAGGGAGGUCAUUAAGAAAAAAAGGGGAAAAUGAUAUAGAAGUCUCACCUUAUGGCAUCUUAUGGGUGGUUUGGGAUGUAGAAAGAGUUGAGGAUAUAUCACGGGACUUCAAAAAGGUGUGAGAUAAAGUAAUUUUUGCAUUUUAUCUCAUUUCUUUUUCCUUCUUUUAUCAAAUGUAAGUUAGUACGCCUCCAAGAUGAUCUUGUCUUUAUGAAUUUUCUUAAACUCUAUAACCUAGCACAAACUAUUUAAGUAAGUUGUUGAUACUA